rnacentral:misc_RNA from 1 species
UUUCCGUAGGUGAACCUGCGGAAGGAUCAUUACUGAGUGAGGGCCCUCUGGGUCCAACCUCCCACCCGUGUUUAUUGUACCAUGUUGCUUCGGUGAGCCCGCCUCACGGCCGCCGGGGGGCAUCUGCCCCCGGGCCCGCGCUCGCCGGAGACACCCUUGAACUCUGUCUGAAGUUUGCAGUCUGAGCGAAAACUAAAUAAGUUAAAACUUUCAACAACGGAUCUCUUGGUUCCG